UGGCGACCGGCGCACGGGUGAGUAACACGUAUCCAACCUGCCGCUUACUCGGGGAUAGCCUUUCGAAAGAAAGAUUAAUACCCGAUGGUAUAAAGAGUUCGCAUGUUCUCUUUAUUAAAGAAUUUCGGUAAGCGAUGGGGAUGCGUUCCAUUAGAUAGUUGGCGGGGUAACGGCCCACCAAGUCUACGAUGGAUAGGGGUUCUGAGAGGAAGGUCCCCCCACAUUGGAACUGAGACACGGUCCAAACUCCUACGGGAGGCAGCAGUGAGGAAUAUUGGUCAAUGGACGAGAGUCUGAACCAGCCAAGUAGCCGUGAAGGAUGACUGCCCUAUGGGUUGUAAACUUCUUUUAUAAGGGAAUAAAGUGAGGGACGUGUCCCUUUUUGUAUGUACCUUAUGAAUAAGGAUCGGCUAACUCCGUGCCAGCAGCUGC
rnacentral:rRNA from 1 species